rnacentral:rRNA from 1 species
UCACUUUCAACAACGGAUCUCUUGGCUCUCGCAUCGAUGAAGAACAUAGCGAAGUGCGAUAAGUAAUGUGAAUUGCAGAAUUCCGUGAAUCAUCGAAUCUUUGAACGCAAAUUGCACUCUCUGGCAACCCGGGGAGUAUGCCUGUUUGAGGGUCAGU